UACGAAGGGGGGCUAGCGUUGCUCGGAAUCACUGGGCGUAAAGCGCACGUAGGCGGAUCCUUAAGUCGGGGGUGAAAUCCUGGAGCUCAACUCCAGAACUGCCUCCGAUACUGGGAAUCUCGAGUCCGGAAGAGGUGAGUGGAACUGCGAGUGUAGAGGUGAAAUUCGUAGAUAUUCGCAAGAACACCAGUGGCGAAGGCGGCUCACUGGUCCGGUACUGACGCUGAGGUGCGAAAGCGUGGGGAGCAACAGG
rnacentral:rRNA from 1 species